AUUGAACGCUGGCGGCAGGCCUAACACAUGCAAGUCGAGCGGAUGAAGGUAGCUUGCUCCUGGAUUCAGCGGCGGACGGGUGAGUAAUGCCUAGGAAUCUGCCUGGUAGUGGGGGAUAACGUCCGGAAACGGGCGCUAAUACCGCAUACGUCCUGAGGGAGAAAGUGGGGGAUCUUCGGACCUCACGCUAUCAGAUGAGCCUAGGUCGGAUUAGCUAGUUGGUGGGGUAAAGGCCUACCAAGGCGACGAUCCGUAACUGGUCUGAGAGGAUGAUCAGUCACACUGGAACUGAGACACGGUCCAGACUCCUACGGGAGGCAGAAGUGGGGAAUAUUGGACAAUGGGCGAAAGCCUGAUCCAGCCAUGCCGCGUGUGUGAAGAAGGUCUUCGGAUUGUAAAGCACUUUAAGUUGGGAGGAAGGGCAGUAAGUUAAUACCUUGCUGUUUUGACGGUACCAACAGAAUAAGCACCGGCUAACUUCGUG
rnacentral:rRNA from 1 species